UACGUAGGGGGCUAGCGUUGUCCGGAAUCAUUGGGCGUAAAGCGCGUGUAGGCGGUCCGGUAAGUCCGCUGUGAAAGUCGGGGGCUCAACCCUCGAAAGCCGGUGGAAACUGUCGGGCUAGAGUGCGGAAGAGGCGAGUGGAAUUCCUGGUGUAGCGGUGAAAUGCGUAGAUAUCUGGAGGAACACCGGUGGCGAAGGCGGCGAUCCUGGACCGACAUUGACGCUGAGGCGCGAAAGCCAGGGGAGCAAAGCGGGAU
rnacentral:rRNA from 1 species